AUGGAGACGGGACAGAAAUAGAGGCUGGGAGACCCAGGAAGACCAAAAGAAAGAGAAACAGGGGGUAGACUGACAGAGCCAGAGGGAACCGGACGCGAGCGGGAGGAGGCAGGAGGCAGUGGAAGGAGGCGCCCGGCCCUGCCGUCGGGCCGGCGGCCGGGCCUCCCCCACCGCUGGGCUGCUCACCUGCUCCCAGUGACACCGGAGAGCGCCAGUUCUCUGCCCUCCCAAGGCUGGGCAGCCGCGGGUGGGGCUGGAGUCACGACUCCCGGACUCUAGGGCUCUCAGCAGCCCUUGCCAGAGGCCUCCUGUGGACAAGAAUAGAGGGGGAUGGAGACGGAGACGUCCCUCCAAGCCAAGCCCAAGUUCUCCUUCAGGAAGAAGCUACCGGGGUUUCCACCUAUGCCUUCCUCUGGCCAAGCGUCUGUCCAGCCACCUCCUGGAUGUCCUGGCCUCGGUUCCGGUCUUCUCAGGUCACAGACCUGGGGACAGCCCUUUUGGGUCCUCGCCACCUUGACCUUCUCCUCUCAUCUUUGCUUUCUCUCCACCAACUUGCCUUCCCCGCUGCCCACAAAGGCUCCUUCUUUCAGUAUUUCCAGGCCUCGGCACACACCGUGCUUCCUACCCUGGGCACACCUUCCCUCUCCCUAUGAACUCAUAUUGCUCCAGCAAAGCCUCAACCCCUUCCUCCAGGUAGUCUCCACUCCCUGAGCUCCUCCCUCAGCCUGGGAGUUACAGGAGGGCUGGGCGCAGGGGUCGGGCACUGGAGAACACGAUGAAGAAUUAAGUAGAAAAUGCCGCAGCAUAAAAGGAGAAGUGCACGUGAGCAUGCCCACGCGGGGGGGGGGGUGUCCACGUGCGGCGCCCUCAGGUACGCCCCCUCUUCCGUCCGGGCCACACCGCAGCCGUCAGGCCUAGGUUGCAUUUCCCGCCCCCCAGCUUGCGGGUGCGCAGGGAGAAAGGAGGGGCUGCUGUGCUUCCUGGCUCGCGCUUGCGCAUUCGAUCCAGCUGGGCUGAAGUCCCGACUCCAGGUGACUACGGACGCUACUAUUGGCCUUUGAAAAUAGAGAACGGCGUGUCCGCCAAUGAGACUUCCCCGAGGGUGGGCGGGGCCUGGACCUCCCCACUAGGUGACGGGGGUGGGCGCGCCCUCCCCGCAGUGACGUCAGGCUCCUUUCGUGAUGCGUUGCCCUGGAAACCGCGUUUCCAUCUCCGCGGGUUUCCGGGGGCCGCCCCCUCCCAUUCAGUUUUUUCCUCAAUGGGGGAGAAAGCGGUGCAGGGCCAACUCCGCCCCCUGCGAGCCUGGUAACCCCCUGCGCGUUUUGUGCCUCAGUUUACCUCUUCGCUCCUCCAACUCAACGCAUGGCCACCACUUGCUUCACCGGGCCGAGCACCUCCCUGGGCAAGUGUGUGUAGGCGCUGGGGUCGUGCAGGGUGCACGGAGGGCUGGGGUUUUUUCUCUAGGACUCCUAGAGAUCUCUCUCACGCCCUCCGGGAGUUUAUUCCUCAGAGCCCCAGAAUACAGCCAGACCUGGGCCUCCACCCCCAAGGCAGGCCCUGUCCCCCACUCCCCAAGGCAUGGCCUUGACUCCCUUGGGGCCUCAGGCUGGCGGAGUCAGCAUGCUAGGGGGCGGUUCCUGGAUUGUAGGUACAAACAUCUCCUGUGAAUCAGCAGGCCCAUUGUGGCAUCCUUCUUCCUCAUCCUCUCAGUCCUGGGCGGCAGGUGAUGGCCAGGGUGACGCUCCUGACUCGUGGGGCUGGGGCUGCUGUUCCUCCUGAGCCUUCCCUUUGCACCUCCACCCCGUGGCCUCCAACUUGGGCGUGGGGGGAAGAGGACUUUUCACCACGACCUUGAGGCCUGGGGAUGGGCUGACAGGGCAUCUGCCUUCCUGCCCUGGGUGUGGGAUGAUCUGGGGACUGAGUGGUGGGAAGGGCAAAAGGUCCAGGAAGAUGUGUCCUAGGCCACCCUGUAAAAGGGACCUGCCCCUCCCCCCUGGGGGUUCUUGGAUCAGGGCUGGGGAGGGCAGAAGCUUGGCCAUGUGCACCUGGAGGAGGGUAAGGGGUCACAAUUAAAAAAAAACUCCUCUCA